AUUGAACGCUGGCGGCAGGCCUAACACAUGCAAGUCGAACGAGUGGCGGACGGGUGAGUAAUGUCUGGGAAACUGCCUGAUGGAGGGGGAUAACUACUGGAAACGGUAGCUAAUACCGCAUACCAUCAGAUGUGCCCUGAUGUGCUUAUCUAGUUGGUGGGGUAACGGCUCACCAAGGCGACGAUCCCUAGCUGGUCUGAGAGGAUGACCAGCCACACUGGAACUUGGACACGGUCCAGACUCCUCCGGGAGGCAGCAGUGGGUAAUAUUGCACAAUGGGCGCAAGCCUGAUGCAGCCAUGCCGCGUGUAUGAAGAAGGCCUUCGGGUUGUAAAGUACUUUCAGCGGGGAGGCGGUACCCGAAGAAGAAGCACCGGCUAACUCCGUGCCAGCAGCCGCGGUAAUAC
rnacentral:rRNA from 1 species